UUCAAAGGGAUUAGGACAACCUGAACAUCAAUAAAGCAGCUGCUGCGUUAGUGGAGAUGUGCUUCAUAGCACCACUGCAAUCCAAUGAAGGAAGCCCAUCAGCUUCCUUGGUGCCUGGCACUGAGUGACGCAAGGAGCUGCUGCUGGGAGACAUGCAGGUGCAGCCAAGAGCCAGAAAUGGCUUUUGCAGUGAAAUACAAGAAGUAUUUGCUAGCAUACCUUCAUUCUGUGGCUAUGCAGUGCACUCAAUUGGGGCACUAAAACUUGCAUGUAAGAACAUAUGAGGACAAACAGACACCACCUUUCCUCCUCCAAAAUAAUGUCACCUCUGGGAAAACAUGAAGAAACCUGGAAAAUAAACAACUGAUCGGGGAUACAGAAGAGAUCUAUGUCCAUGAAUAGCAGGGAGUAGGACAAUACUGAAUUAGCUCUUCCUUUAGAAUACUGGCCACAUAUUAAAUACAAGUGGUAGCUACAAAAUUCAAAUCAGAAGAGACCCUCCAUGCAAGAAAACUUAAUUGAAAACUGGGGUGUUGUUACAGGAGUUUGUGGGAACACAAAGUUUAAGCUGUUUCAAAAUAGAAUUGGAGAAAGUCCAAUCUGAGGGCUACUCCCCAGCAAGAAAGUCCUCAACAUCCAGUGGAUAAGGCAACCAGGGAAUUUAACCAUAAACUGCUCUUUCCUUUUGCUACUGAUCAUAACCAAAGACUGAAUAAUAUAAUAAAAGGACCUUUGGGCUGAA